rnacentral:lncRNA from 1 species
GGAUGGAAAUGAAGAGAAGAAGAGGAUUUUGGGGUGAUUGUCUCAGAUUUUGAAAAUUAGGACUUGAGAUUUUGAUGGAGAUCAAAAGUGAGACGAUUUUGAUCAAGGAUAUGCCGAGAGAAUAUGUUUACCCUAGAAUUUGAGGUAGAAAAUCAAGGUUUUUGAGCGGUUAAGGGAAUGGAUUUGUGGGAUUGUGGCCGGUGGAGAGCUUGGAGAAGGGUUUCGGUAUGGGACA